UUCAGUUUCUGCAUGAUUCACCUCCCAGAUGCCAAGAAAGGGGAAGACUUUGCUUGCCCAUCUUUAAAGGAGAAGACUGCACUCAACCAAGCUGCUGCAGACAUACCUGUGAGCCUAUUAUUAGACCAAAGCCAGCUCCGAGCAAGCUUUGAUUUUAUUCCAAAGCCUGGAGCAGGGGCCCGGUGCCAACACUUUAAAGGUGCAUAAGGUUUAAACAUGUGAAUGCCGGGAA